AUGCAACGCGAAGAACCUUAACCUGGUCUUGACAUCCCGGAGACCCUUAGGAAACUAGGGGUGCUUCCACCUGGAAGAAUCUGGAGACAGGUGCUGCAUGGCUGUCGUCAGCUCGUGUCGUGAGAUGUUGGGGUUAAGUCCCGCAACGAGCGCAACCCUUGCCUUUAGUUGCCAGCAGUUCGGCUGGGCACUCUAAAGGGACUGCCGGUGUUAAACCGGAGGAAGGUGGGGAUGACGUCAAGUCCUCAUGGCCUUUAUGACCAGGGCUACACACGUACUACAAUGGCCGAUACAAAGGGCAGCGACACUGCGAGGUGAAGCCAAUCCCGUAAAAUCGGUCUCAGUCCGGAUUGGAGUCUGCAACUCGACUCCAUGAAGUUGGAAUCGCUAGUAAUCGUGGAUCAGCAUGCCACGGUGAAUACGUUCCCGGGCCUU
rnacentral:rRNA from 1 species